rnacentral:lncRNA from 1 species
UUUUUUUUUUUUUAUUUUUUUAAAGGACUCAAGUUUAUCCAAGAUUUUGGCAUCUUCCCAUACUUCCUUUCCUUCCUCCUGCAUUCCUCCCUAAGCCUACUUAUCUUCCUCUCUCAAUUAUUUAUAGAAGGCCUGCUUUGCACAAGGCUCACUGCUUGAUCCUGUGGGGGAUAAAUAGAUGACUCAGAAGAGCUCUGCUUUGCAUAUUUUAUUCUGAUAACCUAGUCCCUGUUCUGGUAAUGCUUUUGGUGUUGCUCUGCUAGUUCUUGGCAAACCUGCAAGCCACUCGGCUAACUGUCCAGAUUUCAUAUACUCUAACAUUUCCCCUCCUCCCUGUAGAACUGGCAGCUCUCUUUCCUCAGCCCUUAGCUGCCUUCUCACACCUUCCACCUUCAGCCAAUGGCCAAGCCAGAGCUACUGGGUCCUGAUCCUUCUGGCCUUAUGGUGAUCACCACACUCCAUCUUGCUUCCCAGGCUAAUUUAUUUCCCUCCUUAUUUUUCUGAGCUGUUCCUUCUGAUUCCUCCCAUUUCUUCCUCAUCUCAUUUUGACCCCUUUCCUGAUUCACAGCGAUCAUCCCAAUGAGCUUAGUGUGAAAAAAAAUUAAAGGUUCUAAUGAUCUGCUUCCUCUCUGCCUACUGUUAUUUAUUCUAAGAAACAAUUUUGCUUCAGGAACUACUUUUUCAGAGCCGAGGGUACAAAGAAGGCAAUGUAGGUUCAUUUGUCCCUUUCCACGAUACUUGCCCCAUUCGAAAGUUACUUCCCAACCACUUAACAGUAGGCAGUAUGUUUAUUUUUAAAGUAAGAGGUGGGGAGAGCAUGGAGGGCAGAGGAUGAGAUUCCACAGGGUAAUUUAAAUCUCAUCUUCAGGUUAUAAAAUGUUAUGAUUCAUGUCUGGAAUGGAACUACUUUUUAAAAUCAUAUUGACACAGCAAGAGUAUUCUCCUCACCCCAGGCAAUCUCUGGAAAGACACUUUCUCCUCUCCAGCUAAUCAAUUCAUGUCCCAGGCAAAGUCCUGCAGUCUGUGAGGGCUGCCUGGGCAUCCAUCAGCUCUUUGAGGUCCAGCCUCUGUCUAAGUCAUCUUCGUAUCCCAGCAACAAGCAGUCAGGUACCUAAUAAGGAACCACUAGAAGUAUAGGGAAUGAAUCAAAAUGAAGAACUUUCUCCAGCCUCCUGUAAUGACUCCCUGCUUAACUCUAGUGUACUUGGUGUCUGUAUCACUCAUUCAAACACUAGUGUGCCCCAGACAUUAUUAAUUAGGCUCUUUAAAAUGGAAUGUUUUAUCUUUCCACCCAGGUUGCCAAGUUCCCAUUGUGGCGCAGUGGAAAUGAAUCUGAUUAGUAUCGAUGAGGAUGUGGGUUUAAUCCCUGGCCUCGAUCAGUGGGUUGGGGAUCCAGUGUUGCCAUGAACUGUGGUGUAGGUGGCAGAUGUGGCUUGGAUCCCACAUUGCUAUGGCUGUGGUGUAGGCUGGCAGCUGUGGCUCUGAUUUGACCCCUAGCCUGGAAAUUUCCAUAUGCCACUGGCACAGCCCUAAAAAGGCAAAAUAAAAUAAAAUAAAAUUAAAAAAGUUUAUUUAAACUGUUCCUUCUUUUUCUUGACAGAGUUUCUGUUGGGAAUGUUUAGAGAACUAAGUUUUCAGAAACCAUAAUUUUAUUGUAAGUACAUCUGUUUAAAAAAGGCCUGGCUUCCAUGUGUUUCAAAUGGAGGGAGAAAUUAUCACUGAAUUGGUGCUUAGUUUGAUUCAACCACGUUUACUGAGGAGAUAUUUUGUACCUGACACUGAACCAAGCAAUGUUCCUGCCUCACAGGAACAUGCAGAGAUAACAGGUCUUGUUGCCCACCCUUGCCAUGGGGAUAAUGCUUGUCCUCACCAGUUGUUCAUAGAUGACCAUUGGGUAAUAUACACAGCCCCUGCCACCUGGCCUGGAUCUUCCCGAGUAGUGACCCGGACUUGCUGCUUACCUAGUGUAGCCCCUUUUUGGGUGGUGCCAAACUGCUGCCUCCUCCCCCAGCCUUCACUCUCCUUUGGGAAUCAGAAUAGAUUUUGCAGCAAGUUAGGCAACUUGAGCCUGAAAAGUCUGUGUUAUGUCUUUUCAGUAAACUUCAAACUUAUCAGCUUAAGAAAUAACUUACAAAGGAGAAAUAAACUCUGGUAAGGCUAAUAAUAGGGAUUUCAAGCUGUGUUUUAGCAAACCAGUCACAGAGUAUUCAUGUGUUAAUUCACUGGCAUGUUCCAUGGCAUAAGCACCCCCAUCCUGUCUUCCCCUGAUUCCAACUCUUGUGCUGCAGGAUGAUUUGGUCUGAGUCUGGGCAGAGCCCCCCUUUAAGAGCAGCCCUCCAGCUUCUGUUAUAGCAGGAAUCUGGCGAAAGUGAUUCUUGCCUCCCCGUGGCACACAAGGGAAGGAGCUCUUUAAAGGGACCUUCCUACUCCUCUUUGCAGCUACAAAUCCGUGUGGUUGGUGAAGACUUAGCGAUCCAGGCUUUCGCCUGAAAAUGAAUGAGGAGGGGUCUUGAAGAGCCCCCAUGACCUCCCAGAGUGCAGCAGGGAGGGAGCUGAUAGCUGGAGUGGAUGGAGACCACUGGUCUCUGGGGAGCGGCUUGCCAUUAGGUGCUUCUUGGGAUGCUCCGUGCACCAGUAGAACAUCCUGCCUGUGGUCCAGAGAGUGCUGGCGGCUCAUCUUGCGGUAUGCCUGCGUGGAUUUGAGCCAUCGCCCAGAGGUGAACCCGCAUUCAGACAAGGCUGACGGGCUCCCGGCAGGGCUGCGUACAGAUAGCACGAAUGCUUAGCUCCAGGCAUCUGCCCAAGCCUCCUGACUACAUGGAUUUGGCUGUUUAAUCAACCGCGAUUACUGCCCAGGAAGAUUUGUGAGCCUGAUCCGUGCUCCAGCUGCUGUGACAACUUCAGGGCUGGCUGUUUACUUCUCUCCGUGCCUGGGACUCUGUCCUGCACCCGCAGCCGCUGCUGAGACUUUCCCAGCUCUGAAGUCGGCUGCGAGAACUCCUCUGCCAGCAUUCCCAGGAAGAGGGAGCAGGAGGGGUUAAAAGACUAGCAGACCCUCCCAACCGCUCGACCUCUCGUGACUGCCUGUGUUCUGGGGUUCUAAGAGGGACCCUGUGCUGCCCAGGGAAGCAAUGCAAGUCUCCAUAGCCUGCACAGAGCAUAAUUUGAAGAGUCGGAAUGGUGAGGACCGACUUCUGAGUAAGCAGAGCUCCACCGCCCCCAAUGUGGUGAACGCAGCCCGGGCCAAAUUCCGCACGGUCGCUAUCAUUGCGCGCAGCCUGGGGACCUUCACCCCUCAGCAUCACAUCUCUCUCAAAGAGUCCACCGCGAAGCAGACUGGCAUGAAAUAUAGGUAUCUCUAAAAUAGCUCCUUAGGAAAGUGGAAAACCCAAGGUGGUUGUGUUGUGUUGUAUACAUAUAGGAUUUAAAAGCCGUGGCCCACUUUGUAUAUUCUAAAGUGUUAUGAACACCUUAGGAGCUGUAUGAAUUCCAGUCUGCAGAGAUAACACAGCUGCUGGAAACUGAUAUUGAGAUCAGGGCAGCUUUUCAAGAGCAAAUGUGCUUGUCCUAUUUUAUGGUACAGACUGUAGUUUCUGUGAUUAUACUAUUAAAAAUAGUUUCCCAUCUAGUACUGUAUUCUUACUUACCUUUUGGAAGGCCAAAGUGUCAAAUGCUAUGCAAGCUUUUAAGGAAGUUUUGUUGCAAAGAAGAAACACCUAUAAUGGUAAGUUAGUUUGAACACUGACAUACUUAAAUAUAAAUUGCUGCUUGAAAUAAAAUGCAGACAUUGUGAAGUAUGGAAAAAAAAAGGUCAAUUGUUGUAAUGCUGCUGGUUUCCUCAUAAAAUUUUAAGCCCCCUCUUCCUCUUAUGUUGCUUUCCAGAGUUGGAAAUCUUCCUGGAAGUAGUUGAUGCUCUCUUUAAUAGGGAAUGACUUAAAUUUGAUAAGUAGAAAAUUUCAUUAUUCAAUUCUGUGACUCCUAUAUCUUCAUUGUAUCUUCUUUGUGCUGUCUUCCUAACUUCAUUUCUUUUAAAAUUACCGUGCUUCCUUUUCUAAAAGUGUUUGCACAUGUAGAGAAGAGCUUAUGAUACACUUUCCAGAGGCUUUGGUGAUUCUAGUUUGCAGGUAUGAUUUUGUUCAUUAUUUACAUUAACUAUCCCUCAUAUUUGUUAGGAACUGGGUUUUUGGAGAGAAGGAAGAUAAUGCACACCUAAGACUAUGUUUCCCAUGUGUGGUUUCUGAAAUAAGCAUUCAAACCUAUUUCUAUAAAAGUUGUCCUUGGAAAAUUUUCUUUGCAGAAUUAACAGGAGAACUUUUCACUGAAAAAGGCCAAGCACAGUUGUUUUGGUAUAUCCUUUAGCCAUUAAGAAAGCAAGCUGUGAGUGGGGUGGGAGGAACCACGAAAAAUCAUAGCUAAAGCUCUUCGCCCCAACUGCAGUACAACACAAGCCUGACUCCAGGCAACUCCUUAAAGUGUCACCAGUAUGAGGACUUAUGCUUUACCUGAUAUUUCCGUGGAGGAGAUGGGGCCCCAUGACAGGUUGAUAACUGGGACUGCAGUCUUUAGUGCAUUGGCAUUUUCUGUUGCUGCUCUGUGGCACACACCCAGCCCCUGUCCCAUGGACAGGCACUGCUUCAGAUGCAGUUCAGCUGCCCAGAUGGAAAUGGAGAUGAGCUGCAGCCUUCCUGGCCUGGGCCCCUGGGAAUGGGACAUUCAGGGUAAAAGCCAAUUGCAGAGGUGAUUUUAAUUAUGGCCCCCAGCGACACCUUGAGCUUUCUUUUUGUAAACCAGAAGCAAUAAAAAGUAACAUUCUUCAUUUCUUAUGGCAGAGUUUCAUAAUUGCUUGUGGAUCAGUGUAUUAGAAGAGUUUGGUCUUAUGAGGGCAGAUAGCCAUUAAGGUCUUUCUGGUAAUACUUACAGCUCAGCUCGGAUUGAGUGAUAACUGUCUUGCUUUACCAAAAGCUCAGUGUGUAAGAUAUUCAUUUAACCAUCUUUCAUUACUAGCAACUAAGGACAGCUCUUUUCUGACAAAAAGUUAGCCAUCUUUGGUCUUCCAUGUAUUUUGAGUUAUUUGUUUACUGUGACUGGACUGCAUUGAGUUGUCUUGUCUGACAGGGAGAUGGCUUUGUGUGCGUGUGUGUGUGACUUAAUCUUUCUCUUUUUCAAAUUUUAGUUAGGGUGACCUUUAGGAAAGAGAUUAGGAGAUUAUGUCAAAUGUACAUGAAAAUUUUCUUAGGCUUGGAGAAGGAGAAUGAUAGAAGCGGGAGGGAGAGAGAUAACCUUAAUGUACUUUAUAAAAAAUGAUAGAAAUAUUUUUGUUAGCUAUAUUAUUGAGUUAUCUUUUUCUUAGACUUUGAUGUCACUAAAAUAUAAUGUGCAUGUAGGAACUAUUUAUUAGUGAUAACAAAUAGCAAAAAAAUUUUUUUAAAUGCCAUAGAGUUGGGGGAGGUAGUUGGCUUGAGGAAACAAUCAGGAGAAUGUCCAAAGAAACUAGAAUGGAAAGUGAGUUGCUAAUUGUGUUUCUAAUAAUAAUCUCACCCUAGAAAAUGAUUUCCAUAGGCAUAACUUAACCUGGUAUCUAUGAACUCUU